rnacentral:rRNA from 1 species
CCGCAAUGAACAGUGCCACGAGCGUUGCGUCCCGCGCGAGCAAAGAAGCAAGCGAGCUAGAGAAAAAAAAAGAAGCGAGCGAGAGAAAAAAAGAAGAAGCGGGCGAGCAGCUGUAGCGAGCGAUACCUAACCCGCGUCUCCCCCACGACCCCCGCCUCCUCUCCUGCCGCCGCCGCGCCCUCCCCACCCGCACGCGUCCCAUCCUCCUCCUCGACCUCCCUCGCUGCCUCUCCUUCUCUUCCUCCUCUCUCUCCUGUGCCGCCGUCCUGCCCCAUCCACCCAUGCUGCACUCCGACGGCGACGAUGACCUGUAAGCGAAGGGCGACGACGCAGAGGAGAGGGAGGUGCGGCAGCAUACGGGAGAGGGUCACCAGCUAGCGUCGGCCUGUGCUGGUGAGGUCGGGCUCCACCGUUCCUGUCCCUCGUCCUCACGCGGCCUCUCUUGGUCACCGGCGCUGCAGUUGCGCGGGGCGUGAGAAUAGCAAGGAGAUGUUGGCCCUCGUCCAGGAACGCGGCGUCCAUGGCCGCUCCUCUCCUCCCGAUUUGCCUCCUCUUCUUUGUGCGCGCCGGCCGCUGCAGCUCCUCGCGCCGCCUCCGUCCAUCCCACCUCUCUUGUUUUCCUCCUCUCUCAGAUCGGGCGCCUUCGCUCGCCGUGGUUCCAGAUCGGGCGGAUUGGAGGAGCAGGGGAGGGCGAGGCCUGGAGCUCCAUCUGCAGCACGCGCUAGACUGGUGCCAUGCUGCAUCUUCUCCUACCUCCGUUCUGGUGCCUCCUCCUACUCGCGUAAACAGCGAGCGGAGGGCGUAAUCACGGAAGUGCCAGAGUUUGGAGGUGGAUGUUACUUCAGGAAGGAAGUUGGUUACAAUUUUCAUUUGUUUGAUGCAGCAGGGACAAACUAAUUUGCAGAAUUUCUUGGUGUUGCGAUCUCUCCCCAUCUUAGCAUUGUCUUUCGUUGAAAGGGGAGGAAAUUUGUGUAUAUCACACCUAUCAGCUGCAUCCCACAAAGAGGAAUUUUGUGUCAGACAUUGCCAUUGGAGAAGCUUUGACAGAUAUGGCCCUUCUUUCAGUAAUAAGGUUUACACAUGUACUGAUGCAAAAGAUUUGAUUCAGAGGAAAUGGAUUGUAAUUUGCACGUGAGGUGGGGCUUUUGAUUGGGCCUUGUGGUGGUUGGAUCCGCUAACAGAUAGGGAGAAGCAUGAUAGAUCGGGCAGAGAUCGCAGGUCGCGGCCAUGGGAGAGCAGGGGAGGCGUGGUUUACGUGAUGGAUAUGUAGUAGGGGAGGGUGAGGAGGACGGGCAUGUGGGAAGGCACAGCAAUGCCGGAGCUAAAGCGGGCGCUUGUGUCACGGUGGUGCUUGCUGGUCAUCGUCCCUAAUCUCCAAGUGCAGAUUGGACGAUGAAGAGACGAGGAAGGAUGUUAGGAAGAGUGAAGAACAAGGCGGACCUUCUCUGGUGGAAGAACAAGAUGAACCCUCUUUUGUGGGUCCUGUUUUUGGCAAAAUAUGUGGGGACUCGAAUGACAAUGAGCAGGUGCCAUUAAUUCCUACAAUGGCCUUUUUCUUCUUCUCAGAAGCCAGAUAAUGUUCAGUUGGAAGAGAUGGAUAUGAGGUGGCGGAAUGGCAAGGCGUCUGGUCAGAUGACCUGUGUCUGUGGUCAGUUGGUGGAUCUCGACUACAGGAACAUCACCGAUGCAAUCCAUAGUAGAUUGAUGAAUCCAUUCUGAUGAGCUUUGUAAAUAUUAGAAGAAAGGCAUAUGAUCCAGACUCAGAUUCAAGCUGCAUUGAGGGUUAUGCUUGAGACAUGGAUGAUGGCUACAACCACUAUGUGCGACCGUAGGCUACGGCGGAGACAGGCCCCAGGCAGCCUGAGCCGAUGCCUGGGGCAUGAGGCUGAUUCCCUUCGUACACUGUAGAGAACACUGUAGCUACAGUGUUGCAGUGCUUCCUAGGCCGGCCGGGGGCGUGGCUGAAUCCUGGCGCCGCCACUGACCAUAGGCAUGCCUGCUUCGACGAUGAAAUUAUGUUCAAUACUGCUGGGACAUGUAACGAUGACUCAACUUAAUACCACCACCUUCUCGCGUCUUGGUCCUUGUUGCGAGCAAGACAAUGCAUCUCUGGCCUUUGCUAAUAUAGCUUACUUUUAUAAAGCCAAUGUAUGCCAUUAUCAAGUGAUAUGAAUAUCUUCUUUUAAGCUACCAAGUGCCAUGUAAUGGAACAUAAACAUCUAUUAAGUUAGUUCUAAAUCAAUC